rnacentral:rRNA from 1 species
AGGCCUUAGGGUCGUAAAGCUCUUUCGCCUGUGAUGAUAAUGACAGUAGCAGGUAAAGAAACCCCGGCUAACUCCGUGCCAGCAGCCGCGGUAAUACGGAGGGGGUUAGCGUUGUUCGGAAUUACUGGGCGUAAAGCGCGCGUAGGCGGAUUAGAAAGUUGGGGGUGAAAUCCCGGGGCUCAACCUCGGAACUGCCUCCAAAACUGCUAGUCUAGAGUUCGAGAGAGGUGAGUGGAAUUCCGAGUGUAGAGGUGAAAUUCGUAGAUAUUCGGAGGAACACCAGUGGCGAAGGCGGCUCACUGGCUCGAUACUGACGCUGAGGUGCGAAAGUGUGGGGAGCAAACAGGAUUAGAUACCCUGGUAGUCCACACCGUAAACGAUGAAUGCCAGUCGUCGGGUAGUAUACUAUUCGGUGACACACCUAACGGAUUAAGCAUUCCGCCUGGGGAGUACGGUCGCAAGAUUAAAACUCAAA